rnacentral:rRNA from 1 species
UUAAGCGACUAAGCGUACACGGUGGAUGCCCUGGCAGUCAGAGGCGAUGAAGGGCGUGCUAAUCUGCGAUAAGCGCCGGUAAGGUGAUAUGAACCGUUAUAACCGGCGAUACCCGAAUGGGGAAACCCAGUGUGACUCGUCACACUAUCAUUAACUGAAUCCAUAGGUUAAUGAGGCGAACCGGGGGAACUGAAACAUCUAAGUACCCCGAGGAAAAGAAAUCAACCGAGAUUCCCCCAGUAGCGGCGAGCGAACGGGGAGGAGCCCAGAGUCUGAAUCAGCAUGUGUGUUAGUGGAAGCGUCUGGAAAGGCGCGCGAUACAGGGUGACAGCCCCGUACACAAAAGCGCAUAUGCUGUGAGCUCGAUGAGUAGGGCGGGACACGUGGUAUCCUGUCUGAAUAUGGGGGGACCAUCCUCCAAGGCUAAAUACUCCUGACUGACCGAUAGUGAACCAGUACCGUGAGGGAAAGGCGAAAAGAACCCCGGCGAGGGGAGUGAAAAAGAACCUGAAACCGUGUACGUACAAGCAGUGGGAGCCCCACCACUAAGCCAGUGGUGAACUCCACAUACGCAUCCUUUGCUGAGGAUACGGUUAACGGAGCGAAAGCGACGUUCAACCGCAAAAGAAGCAGAGGGGGCUUAGUGGUGGGGUGACUGCGUACCUUUUGUAUAAUGGGUCAGCGACUUAUAUUCUGUAGCAAGGUUAACCGAAUAGGGGAGCCGGAGGGAAACCGAGUCUUAAUUGGGCGUUAAGUUGCAGGGUAUAGACCCGAAACCCGGUGAUCUAGCCAUGGGCAGGUUGAAGGUUGGGUAACACUAACUGGAGGACCGAACCGACUAAUGUUGAAAAAUUAGCGGAUGACCUGUGGCUGGGGGUGAAAGGCCAAUCAAACCGGGAGAUAGCUGGUUCUCCCCGAAAGCUAUUUAGGUAGCGCCUCGUGAAUUCAUCUCCGGGGGUAGAGCACUGUUUCGGCUAGGGGGCCAUCCCGGCUUACCAACCCGAUGCAAACUGCGAAUACCGGAGAAUGUUAUCACGGGAGACACACGGCGGGUGCUAACGUCCGUCGUGAAGAGGGAAACAACCCAGACCGCCAGCUAAGGUCCCAAAGUCAUGGUUAAGUGGGAAACGAUGUGGGAAGGCCCAGACAGCCAGGAUGUUGGCUUAGAAGCAGCCAUCAUUUAAAGAAAGCGUAAUAGCUCACUGGUCGAGUCGGCCUGCGCGGAAGAUGUAACGGGGCUAAACCAUGCACCGAAGCUGCGGCAGCGAACGUAUCACUUAAAGCGAUUCAGCGGGUUACGAUUGACGGAGCGAAGCGACGUCAAAGCGUAUACAAAGUCGAGUCGGUUUAAGGAUACGUUCGUUGGGUAGGGGAGCGUUCUGUAAGCCUGCGAAGGUGGCCUGUGAGGGUUGCUGGAGGUAUCAGAAGUGCGAAUGCUGACAUAAGUAACGAUAAAGCGGGUGAAAAGCCCGCUCGCCGGAAGACCAAGGGUUCCUGUCCAACGUUAAUCGGGGCAGGGUGAGUCGACCCCUAAGGCGAGGCCGAAAGGCGUAGUCGAUGGGAAACGGGUUAAUAUUCCCGUACUUGGUGUUACUGCGAAGGGGGGACGGAGAAGGCUAUGUUGGCCGGGCGACGGUUGUCCCGGUUUAAGCGUGUAGGUGUGUGUUCCAGGUAAAUCCGGUUCACUUUAACACUGAGGCGUGACGACGAGGCACUACGGUGCUGAAGCAACAAAUGCCCUGCUUCCAGGAAAAGCCUCUAAGCAUCAGGUAACAUCAAAUCGUACCCCAAACCGACACAGGUGGUCAGGUAGAGAAUACCAAGGCGCUUGAGAGAACUCGGGUGAAGGAACUAGGCAAAAUGGUGCCGUAACUUCGGGAGAAGGCACGCUGACAUGUAGGUGAAGUGAUUUACUCAUGGAGCUGAAGUCAGUCGAAGAUACCAGCUGGCUGCAACUGUUUAUUAAAAACACAGCACUGUGCAAACACGAAAGUGGACGUAUACGGUGUGACGCCUGCCCGGUGCCGGAAGGUUAAUUGAUGGGGUCAGCGCAAGCGAAGCUCCUGAUCGAAGCCCCGGUAAACGGCGGCCGUAACUAUAACGGUCCUAAGGUAGCGAAAUUCCUUGUCGGGUAAGUUCCGACCUGCACGAAUGGCGUAAUGAUGGCCAGGCUGUCUCCACCCGAGACUCAGUGAAAUUGAACUCGCUGUGAAGAUGCAGUGUACCCGCGGCAAGACGGAAAGACCCCGUGAACCUUUACUAUAGCUUGACACUGAACAUUGAGCCUUGAUGUGUAGGAUAGGUGGGAGGCUUUGAAGUGUGGACGCCAGUCUGCAUGGAGCCGACCUUGAAAUACCACCCUUUAAUGUUUGAUGUUCUAACGUGGACCCGUGAUCCGGGUUGCGGACAGUGUCUGGUGGGUAGUUUGACUGGGGCGGUCUCCUCCUAAAGAGUAACGGAGGAGCACGAAGGUUGGCUAAUCCUGGUCGGACAUCAGGAGGUUAGUGCAAUGGCAUAAGCCAGCUUGACUGCGAGCGUGACGGCGCGAGCAGGUGCGAAAGCAGGUCAUAGUGAUCCGGUGGUUCUGAAUGGAAGGGCCAUCGCUCAACGGAUAAAAGGUACUCCGGGGAUAACAGGCUGAUACCGCCCAAGAGUUCAUAUCGACGGCGGUGUUUGGCACCUCGAUGUCGGCUCAUCACAUCCUGGGGCUGAAGUAGGUCCCAAGGGUAUGGCUGUUCGCCAUUUAAAGUGGUACGCGAGCUGGGUUUAGAACGUCGUGAGACAGUUCGGUCCCUAUCUGCCGUGGGCGCUGGAGAACUGAGGGGGGCUGCUCCUAGUACGAGAGGACCGGAGUGGACGCAUCACUGGUGUUCGGGUUGUCAUGCCAAUGGCACUGCCCGGUAGCUAAAUGCGGAAGAGAUAAGUGCUGAAAGCAUCUAAGCACGAAACUUGCCCCGAGAUGAGUUCUCCCUGAGACUUAGAGUCUCCUGAAGGAACGUUGAAGACGACGACGUUGAUAGGCCGGGUGUGUAAGCGCAGCGAUGCGUUGAGCUAACCGGUACUAAUGAACCGUGAGGCUUAACCUU